GAUACUGAGACGGAUUGUUCUUGCCACAGGCUGAGAUUCAUCACUUGCAAAUAGCUUUGGAAAUUAGGUGGAAAGCUGUAUGAAAACAAGCCGAGAACUAAGAUGGAUAGGAGAAUAACUGACCCAUCUGGGGUCACUGAAGGUGGCAUGGUUUCCUACUACAUAGUUUUCCUCAGCUUCCUGACUGGAAAAACGUUUCUUCAGGAGGCUUCCUUCUGAAAUUUAAGCACAGCGGGGAAAGUCAGGAGACUGCAGAGCAGGGAGCAGGAAGUAGUGGAAAGUCACUACCAACCAUUCCUGGUUCAAUGGCUACCCUGUCAGAAACUAUAAAGGGAGAAGGAAUAACCUCGAGGAGCAAGAGGAAGAGCCAAAACCAAGGCAAAAGUCAGAUAAUAGAAAUUUAUUUAGUUCUGUCUAGGGCAGAACUGUAACCCAAUUUUUGUAGGUAAUAACCAGCACCUUGAAUUGCAUCUGGAUGCCAACUGGAAGCCAGUUCAGUUCAUAUUGAGAAACUUCUGCUACCACAACUUCCAAAUAUUCUUCAAGGACAGACCCAUGUAGAGUGCCUUGCAGAAAUCCAACUGGGAAGUGACUAAGUCAAGAGUUACUGUAAUGAUUUAAGCAAGAGUAAUGUUGUUCCCCCUAUUAAUAGCUUGAUGGGGAUUUUAUUAAUAGGAAAUCAUGACACACAUUGGUGGUGAUGCUGUCAUAUCAUCAGAAAGGGCAAACCUACAGUUUAUACUUGGGGGGUGGAAUUUCAAGCCUAUCAAAGGUUCAGCACGCCUAUUUGUUUUUGUUUUUUUCUGUUCAUAAAUUAAAAUAGUGAUGUUAAAUUCUGACAGCUGACCACCAAAUUUGAAAGUAUUAUCAAUCAGGGUUCCAGAAAGCAGAAGCUUGUCCUUUGAGUUAAAUGGUAAAAAAAAAAGAAAAAAAGAAAAAGGAACAAAUCUAUCUCCCAAGGUUUUAUUCCUGAAUUGAUUUAGAAGAACUUGAAAGCAGAACAGUGAAACAUCUCUGAAUGACAAUGCAUCUGGGACGACACCAUGCAGAGCUGUCAUGGAAAAUAUUGAAUCAGAGUUAGUAUUGGCUGAACUUUUUUGUCCCCAAAUUCUUCCACUAUUCCUUGGACAUUAAAAACUGAAGAAUAACUUUGGAUCCACAUUGUGUUUAUGAAUAGGGGAAACUGUGAUCCAACAUGUGAAUUAGAAGCAUUUAAACACUAUGUAUUCUUCUGACAUGAAAGGCUAGAUUGAAUAAAAUAUGUUAUUUUAGCCCAAGAACAAUGCUUUCAAAUAUAUUAUUCUUUGGAUGACUAAUUAUUUAUCCAUAAAAGAACAAAAAUAUA